UACGUAGGGUGCAAGCGUUUGUCCGGAAUUAUUGGGCGUAAAGAGCUCGUAGGCGGUCUGUCGCGUCGGCUGUGAAAACCCGCGGCUCAACCUCGGGCCUGCAGUCGAUACGGGCAGACUAGAGUGCGGUAGGGGAGACUGGAAUUCCUGGUGUAGCGGUGAAAUGCGCAGAUAUCAGGAGGAACACCGGUGGCGAAGGCGGGUCUCUGGGCCGAUACUGACGCUGGAGGAGCGAAAGCGUGGGGAGCGAACAGG
rnacentral:rRNA from 1 species